AGACCCGAAACCCGGUGAUCUAGCCAUGGGCAGGUUGAAGGUUGGGUAACACUAACUGGAGGACCGAACCGACUAAUGUUGAAAAAUUAGCGGAUGACCUGUGGCUGGGGGUGAAAGGCCAAUCAAACCGGGAGAUAGCUGGUUCUCCCCGAAAGCUAUUUAGGUAGCGCCUCGUGAACUCAUCUCCGGGGGUAGAGCACUGUUUCGGCUAGGGGGCCAUCCCGGCUUACCAACCCGAUGCAAACUGCGAAUACCGGAGAAUGUUAUCACGGGAGACACACGGCGGGUGCUAACGUCCGUCGUGAAGAGGGAAACAACCCAGACCGCCAGCUAAGGUCCCAAAGUCAUGGUUAAGUGGGAAACGAUGUGGGAAGGCCCAGACAGCCAGGAUGUUGGCUUAGAAGCAGCCAUCAUUUAAAGAAAGCGUAAUAGCUCACUGGUCGAGUCGGCCUGCGCGGAAGAUGUAACGGGGCUAAACCAUGCACCGAAGCUGCGGCAGCGAACGUAUCACCCAAGACAACUUUGCGGAGUUGACGAUUGACGGAGCGAAGCGACGUCAAAGCGUUCAUUAAAGUCGAGUUGGCUUAGGGAUACGUUCGUUGGGUAGGGGAGCGUUCUGUAAGCCAGUGAAGGUGUGUCGUGAGGC
rnacentral:rRNA from 1 species